AGUGAACGCUGGCGGUAGGCCUAACACAUGCAAGUCGAACGGCAGCACAGUAAGAGCUUGCUCUUACGGGUGGCGAGUGGCGGACGGGUGAGGAAUACAUCGGAAUCUACUUUUUCGUGGGGGAUAACGUAGGGAAACUUACGCUAAUACCGCAUACGACCUACGGGUGAAAGCAGGGGAUCUUCGGACCUUGCGCGAUUGAAUGAGCCGAUGUCGGAUUAGCUAGUUGGCGGGGUAAAGGCCCACCAAGGCGACGAUCCGUAGCUGGUCUGAGAGGAUGAUCAGGCACACUGGAACUGAGACACGGUCCAGACUCCUAAGGGAGGCAGGAGUGGGGAAUAUUGGACAAAGGGCGCAAGCCUGAUCCAGCCAUACCGCGUGGGUGAAGAAGGCCUUCGGGUUGUAAAGCCCUUUUGUUGGGAAAGAAAAGCAGCAGGUUAAUACCCCGCUGUUCUGACGGUACCCAAAGAAUAAGCACCGGCUAACUUCGUG
rnacentral:rRNA from 1 species